GAGAGCAUAAGAAACACACACAAUGAAUCUCCAUUCUGUCAUUCUGCUUUCUGUCUUUGCAUAUGCAACAUAUGGAAAUGAAAUUAAACCAACCAAAACAGAGGAGUUUGCUGACGAGGGUUCAAGUGUUAAAUUAUCCUGCGGUUAUACAUCUGCAUACUAUCUUCACUGGUACCGUCAGUAUCCCGGAUCAGCUCCUCAGUUAAUUGUGCUCAUCUCAGACAGUGCAAAAGAAGACCAGAAGUCUAAUGUAGAUUCCAGAUUCACGGCUAAAGUCACUAAAGACAAUAAUGAAUACAUUGUGGAUCUGGAGAUCUCCUCUGCAUCUAUAUCAGACUCUGCUCUGUACUACUGCGAUCACUAG